rnacentral:rRNA from 1 species
CUUAUGCGUUGUUGGGUAGGGGAGCGUUCUGUAAGCCUGUGAAGGUGUGUCGUGAGGCAUGCUGGAGGUAUCAGAAGUGCGAAUGCUGACAUAAGUAACGAUAAAGCGGGUGAAAAGCCCGCUCGCCGGAAGACCAAGGGUUCCUGUCCAACGUUAAUCGGGGCAGGGUGAGUCGACCCCUAAGGCGAGGCCGAAAGGCGUAGUCGAUGGGAAACGGGUUAAUAUUCCCGUACUUGGUGUUACUGCGAAGGGGGGACGGAGAAGGCUAUGUUGGCCGGGCGACGGUUGUCCCGGUUUAAGCGUGUAGGCUGGUUUUCCAGGCAAAUCCGGAAAAUCAAGGCUGAGGCGUGAUGACGAGGCACUACGGUGCUGAAGCAACAAAUGCCCUGCUUCCAGGAAAAGCCUCUAAGCAUCAGGUAACAUCAAAUCGUACCCCAAACCGACACAGGUGGUCAGGUAGAGAAUACCAAGGCGCUUGAGAGAACUCGGGUGAAGGAACUAGGCAAAAUGGUGCCGUAACUUCGGGAGAAGGCACGCUGACACGUAGGUGAAGUGAUUUACUCAUGGAGCUGAAGUCAGUCGAAGAUACCAGCUGGCUGCAACUGUUUAUUAAAAACACAGCACUGUGCAAACACGAAAGUGGACGUAUACGGUGUGACGCCUGCCCGGUGCCGGAAGGUUAAUUGAUGGGGUCAGCGCAAGCGAAGCUCCUGAUCGAAGCCCCGGUAAACGGCGGCCGUAACUAUAACGGUCCUAAGGUAGCGAAAUUCCUUGUCGGGUAAGUUCCGACCUGCACGAAUGGCGUAAUGAUGGCCAGGCUGUCUCCACCCGAGACUCAGUGAAAUUGAACUCGCUGUGAAGAUGCAGUGUACCCGCGGCAAGACGGAAAGACCCCGUGAACCUUUACUAUAGCUUGACACUGAACAUUGAGCCUUGAUGUGUAGGAUAGGUGGGAGGCUUUGAAGUGUGGACGCCAGUCUGCAUGGAGCCGACCUUGAAAUACCACCCUUUAAUGUUUGAUGUUCUAACGUGGACCCGUGAUCCGGGUUGCGGACAGUGUCUGGUGGGUAGUUUGACUGGGGCGGUCUCCUCCUAAAGAGUAACGGAGGAGCACGAAGGUUGGCUAAUCCUGGUCGGACAUCAGGAGGUUAGUGCAAUGGCAUAAGCCAGCUUGACUGCGAGCGUGACGGCGCGAGCAGGUGCGAAAGCAGGUCAUAGUGAUCCGGUGGUUCUGAAUGGAAGGGCCAUCGCUCAACGGAUAAAAGGUACUCCGGGGAUAACAGGCUGAUACCGCCCAAGAGUUCAUAUCGACGGCGGUGUUUGGCACCUCGAUGUCGGCUCAUCACAUCCUGGGGCUGAAGUAGGUCCCAAGGGUAUGGCUGUUCGCCAUUUAAAGUGGUACGCGAGCUGGGUUUAGAACGUCGUGAGACAGUUCGGUCCCUAUCUGCCGUGGGCGCUGGAGAACUGAGGGGGGCUGCUCCUAGUACGAGAGGACCGGAGUGGACGCAUCACUGGUGUUCGGGUUGUCAUGCCAAUGGCACUGCCCGGUAGCUAAAUGCGGAAGAGAUAAGUGCUGAAAGCAUCUAAGCACGAAACUUGCCCCGAGAUGAGUUCUCCCUGAGACUUAAAGUCUCCUGAAGGAACGUUGAAGACGACGACGUUGAUAGGCCGGGUGUGUAAGCGCAGCGAUGCGUUGAGCUAACCGGUACUAAUGAACCGUGAGGCUUAACCUUACA